CUCGUAGGCGGCUUGUCGCGUCUGCUGUGAAAUCCUGGGGCUUAACUCUGGGCGUGCAGUGGGUACGGGCAGGCUAGAGUGCGGUAGGGGUGAUUGGAAUUCCUGGUGUAGCGGUGGAAUGCGCAGAUAUCAGGAGGAACACCGAUGGCGAAGGCAGGUCACUGGGCCGUUACUGACGCUGAGGAGCGAAAGCAUGGGGAGCGAACA
rnacentral:rRNA from 1 species